rnacentral:rRNA from 1 species
AUUGAACGCUGGCGGCAGGCCUAACACAUGCAAGUCGAACGAGGGGCAGACGGGUGUGUAAUGUCUGGAAAACUGCCUGAUGGAGGGGGAUAACUACUGGAAACGGUAGCUAAUACCGCAUACCCUCAGAUAUGCCCAUAGGGGAUUAGCUAGUAGGUGGGGUAAAGGCUCACCUAGGCGACGAUCCCUAGCUGGUCUGAGAGGAUGACCAGCCACACUGGAACUGAGACACGGUCCAGACUCCUACGGGAGGCAGCAGUGGGGAAUAUUGCACAAUGGGCGCAAGCCUGAUGCAGCCAUGCCGCGUGUAUGAAGAAGGCCUUAGGGUUGUAAAGUACUUUCAGCGGGGAGGCGUUACCCGCAGAAGAAGCACCGGCUAACUCCGUGCCAGCAGCCGCGGUAAUUC